GACCCUGGUGUCAGUAUUGCUGGAGAUGUACACAGCAGGGGACGUUGUCUAGGUUCCCGGUCUCCGAGCAACUCUGGAAGGGUCCCUUUUCCAUAGGCACCUGUCGAAAUCCUUCCCUUAUUCUCCAGCUCCAAGGACCCUUCUUCUAAGAAGUUUUAUAAGAUUCUUCAGACACAAUUAACUGUUCCUUUCUCCAAAUUCUUUAGUAUUCAUCAACGUCUUCCGAUAACAGACUGAGAAGUGUCCGUCUUGUGUAUCUACCGCAGACACUAGUAUGUUGCACAGAGUAGUUGUGGGAAGUAAAGGAUCUUUCUAGUCGGGGUCUCUCCUCGCCCUCUGCAGUGCUCAGGGAUUCUGUCACUCUCCUCUCUCCAGGUCGGCUACCAUGCACUGCACCUGGUGUGCUCCUUCCAGGGGGACGGGACAGAAAGCUUCGAUCUCUCCUUCCUUGCUAGCUCCCCCGAUAGACUCUUUGUUGUCAAGGCUGUCUGCUAAUCGUUCCAAGAGAAACAGAUGGAGGGACCCAAUCCAGGAUCCACAUUCAUUUCUCCUUAUUCAUCUCCAAUCUGGGAAAUACUCGGACUCUUUGAAGAAUUGUACCGGCCAGGUUUACUUAUUUAUUUUGAGAGCGAGAGAAAUUGUGAAUGGAGGAGGGGCC